AACGCACAUUGCGCCCCCUGGUAUUCCGGGGGGCAUGCCUAUUCGAGCGUCAUUAUCACCCCUCAAGCCUAGCUUGGUGUUGGGACCUGCUGUUAAGGCAGUCCCUAAAAUCAGUGGCAGUGCUGUCAGGCUCUAAGCGUAGUAAUUUCUCUCGCUAUGGUGCCCUGGUAGAUACUCGCCAGAACCCCCCCAUUUUUAAUGAUUGACCUCGGAUUAGGUAGGGAUACCCGCUGAACUUAA
rnacentral:misc_RNA from 1 species